CAAGUUAUAGCUUAUAUUAAAGCUUUUUAUUUACAUUAAUAUGAAAAUAAUUCUUAUUUAGCUUGA
rnacentral:tRNA from 1 species